UAGGGGAGUGUUUUGAAGGCUUGUAAGAAAAAAAAACCUGCUCUCAUUUCCUAGACAAGUCUUGCUAUGAAGUCUCAGGAAUCAGUUUGGCAAUAAGAAGAAAACUUUCAGCUGAAGGAUGUCUAGAUGAAAAAAGCAAGAUACACAAUCCCAUUUUAGAGCUGGGCACUCAGUUAUCCCAUGUGCAGUACCUAUCCUUCAACAUCUAUGUAUCUACAACUUUUUCACAGGUGAGAGUGGAAACUUCCCCAGUCUUUGAGGACUAGGAACUCAUCUAUAAUGCAGGUCAAGGAGAUGUGACAGGCACCAUCCAAGGUUAAAGAGUAUGACAGAAGUAACCAGGUGAGAACUUUCUUAUAAACUUAAAAGUAAUAUAUAUGUUAUAUUUUUCCCUAGAAGGAAGAUGUUUUCUUUAUUAAUCUGUUCAUCUCUGACACCGAUUUCAUUGCAUGCCAGAGGCUGUCUGAUUUAAAAGAUGCAGGUACACUUGGGGAAAUACAGACCAUGUAUAUUGGCUUUCAUUGUAGAAUCCAUUUUUUUCCAGCAAAUCAUCUCCUCUAGGAAACAGGAAGGAUGGAUAUUAUAGGGUUGUGCAUUUUUAUAGCAUCACAUGGUAAACAUGUAUCCUUGAUAACAGUAACAACCACUACCAUCUUGGUUUUCUCCUGUCAUGAAAUACAAGGGUUGAGUUUGCUUUUUUAUUUGGCUUAAGUCAACAGCAAACAAAACUGUUGAUCAUAGACAACAAAGAAGUUCUGGCUCCUUGAAGAGCAAGAUGACUAUCGGAUGGGUAAGCAAAAAGUGGAGGUUAGAGAAGCAACAAUUUCCCCACAAACACAGCAUAAAAUGGGAACAAUACAUGAAACUGAAUUGCAGAUAGUUUAACAGUGAUCAAAGUUAAAUGUUGUCUUUAUGUAACUACUUAAUAACUAGUGUAACUCUUUUCACAGAUAUUACUGAGCCAAAAAUCAGCAGGAUUCAGGAAAUGUAUAAAGCCUUUCUGAGGAUAUUGAGAGCAUUCAGUCACAUUACAUUAGAAUAAAUUAUUUCCUAACAGUAUGAGUACUCCUAUCCUACAGUACGAAACACCCUGAUUGCCUGCUCAUCCUGGCUAGGACAUUAUUUCCAGUGCAGGAGAUGACUCAAUAUUGGUUUUUAAAUCUUGCUGCGACAUGUCAGAGGCCAAUUAGAUGGACUGUUGGUCUGACCUGGCAUGGUUACUCUUACAUCCCUUCUGAAGAUGCUUAACUUUGUGUCUGUUUUAGCAUCAUCCUUCUCAUCACUUAGGCAUGUUUUUGAGCACAUAAAAAUAUAUUCUUUACUUCACAUACCUUGGCUGCCCCUAUCCCAUGCCUUCUUUGGCAUUGUAAACACAUCACCUCUCCCCAGCAUCCCUCCGUAUGUUUUCUCCUUAACCUUUGACACCUUUCAACCUUUAAAAACACCCCUAAAGAAUAAAGCACUAAUUCAUUUCCAUCUUUCUCUGCACCUUCAUACUACAGGCUCACCACUGUUGCAGGCUUGGCAGGGAUGGAAAGGACGGCAAUAAAUGCAUUCAGGAUAUCCUGCCAUCUAGAAAAAUGAGCAGCAUUUCAGAGGAAGGUUACUCUAAAUUCUGCUUAACAUAUCUGCAAAAUCUUUCCAAAGUAGGUAUCUGUCUGGUUUUCAAAUCCAGCCUUAAUUUGCCUCUUUUUCUUCUCUGGCUUUGAGACCCCAGGGUUGUCUCCCUCCUCACACACCUGGAAGAGAUUCCUCAGAAGUGAUGCUUUGCUUCAGGUUUCCUCUCCCAGGCAGCCCUUGGAGGCCAGGGUGCAGCUGGCCUCAGCUUGCACUACCCCACUGGUCCUGGCUCCCAUUUCAACUUCCCUGACAUUCCUGGCAAUGGAUCCAUUUUGGACACAGGCUUCUGGGCACCGUGCUCUGGGCAGUGCCUGCAAGGAUACAAACCACAGGUUUUGGUAAGCACAUGUGCUUGUGAAGGUCAAGGGACUGGCAGCGUCAGAAAUUGAAUUUCUGAAUACAUCCGCAGUCCAGGUAUAUUUCAGACAGAUGCUCUCAUUCCCAGACUGCCCUGCCAAUGACCUUAACCCUGAUUUGGAAGGACAACUCAAUCUACUAUAAAGAGGAAAGGUGAUUUAGUCUCCAGCCAUGCUGACAGAGUCUUGGACCUCUCUGAACACAGUUUGUCAUUUGUGCUGAAACAUCAAAUCAUUUGGCCAGAUGUAGCUCAUCACCAGUUGGAGUUGAUUUCAGAAGAGGUGUUAGAGUUUGCUAGUCCAAGAGACGAUCUGAUCCAGGCAUCAAAGGGAGCUACGAGAGAAGCGUGUACUCUCCCCCCUGCUUGCAAUUGUCUGCGGCACCGCCUGCUCACUUCUGACAGCCCCGUGCCACCCUCCCAGAGCAAGGGCUCCCACAUUCCCUUCUUCAACCCUUCCCUCCCCAGCCCAAUCUACCAUCCUGCUGGCAGCCAGCUAAAGAGUGCAGACUUGGUGCCUGCACAAAAGUGAGGGGGAAUUACUAAUAAACACAAGCCUGUGCACUGGGAAAAUUAAGAGCCAGCUUCGUGCUGUGUGUUCACUUGACUCAUCCACACCUAUGCACGGAGCAAGGAGGUAGCUAGCUCCUCAAACUUCUCCUUUGUGGCUUUUAAACUUUUUCACUCUUUUGUGGAGACACAUUCUAAGUUAUGUGUGCAGCAUCUGUUGCCUGGUUUUUCUGACCCAUGCCAGAAACUUUUUUAGUCUAAAACAACUGAAAUGGUUUAUUGGUGAGGCCCACAGUAUUCAAGAUACAAAAGGUUGAUCAAUACCCCAGAAGGAUGCAAAAAGAGUGUGAAAAUUUUUCUUACCCCUUCUUACGUCCUUAAAAAAAAUGUAUGCCUGAAAUAUUUACACCUUUUCUCCCCAAUUUCCAUCACUGGUUCUAAUCAGAGUUCAGUAUAUCUCUUGGAAAAAAAAGCCCUUGCAAGCAGUGAUAAAUAGAUAAUGUCAAUUACUGUGGUAUUCAUGCAGUAGAGCUUUGUUUUGUUAGACUGCGAUUCAGCCUCAUACAAAGGGUCCGCCUGACAUGUCGUGAACUUCAGAUCCUAAGGGGAAUUUCUCUGGGGUUUACAUUUUUCCUGAUGCUACACAGCGUGGCUUUUCUCUCUCUUGCAGGUUUUCUGUGAGUGGGUCAUGGGAUUCUCUGACACAUUUAUAAAACAUUUAUAAAAAACAUUAGCAACUUAAAGCUUUCUGUCUGAUAGUAUUUCUUCUCUUUCCAGUUUCUGGUCAGAUAAUCUUAAAGAGACUCUAACCGGCAGAGCAGGAAAACUUCGUUAGGAUAUUGCAAUCAAACUAGUAAAAUAGUUGUUUGGGUUUUCCAGCAUAUUUCCAGUACAGAUCUAUGCUGAUAUCAAAAACAGUAGUCCAGUUACAGACUUUACGAGGUCAAAUCUUUGCCUGGUCAGACUUUAUGUUGGUUGCUUACAAUGUUCUGUUCCAAUAAAGACUAUUCAAAUCCACGGACUCCAACUGUGUGAAUGGAUGAACCAAUCAAAAUUCCCAUUGUAAUAAUGCAUUAUAGGAUAUUAGAAUAGCAAAUAUAUAUAUCAGUGUUAGAAAAGAUGGGCUGUCAGUUUUGUUCUUCUCCUUUCACAUUUCUUCAUUUUCUUCCUUAUCAUCAUGCCAACAACAGCAGCUAACAAAACAUUUUAAAAAUGGAAAAAAACCCCACCAUUGCCCCAGCAAUCACCAUUUGGAACAUUUUCAUAAAUGUUCUUUUCAAGACAUGCCCUACUCAAUGAAAUAGAUGCCUGAAAUCAUGCAUACUUCAAUGUAUUUCCUUUUCACAUUCCUUCUGGACGUGUAUUUAUAUGCCAACUCGUCUUCAUAAAUUUCAUACUGGCCUUAUAAUAGCACAAAUUAAUGAUGCCACUAGAAAAGAACUCAGCUGCUUUCAAAGGAGCAAUAAUCAUGUCAGAGGUGCAGUUGGCAUGAAGAUGAUUGAGUUGCACCUCUUCUCUGAGAUAUUUUCAGGGAUGAAUCAUCCCUUACAUAACAUAUAGCAACGGACAAAUUUUCCAUGUUAUUCUGAUACCUCAUGCCAUCACAUUUAAUUGUGUAACAGUCAGUCACUAUCACAUAAAUUUGCUUCCUCAAUGAUUUGUUGUAAGACCAUGGUAGAUGUGUUUUCGGUAAGCUGAUUCGAGAUUUCAGGAGACACGUGUCUGACACUGCACUGGUUGCAGGAACUGCAGGAUAGUGAUACACCUUUCUGAAGACAAACUCUCUUUCUGACUUUUUGAUGUGAGCUAAUUGGAACUCCUCUCUUGAACAUUAACUCCUUCAUUGUGAACAAUUAAAUGGGAAAAUUAUAGACAAUAAAAAAUCACUUUACUGUAAAUAAAAGGUCUUUAUUAGACACUUUACCUUUUUCAUAUGCUCAUAGAUCAAAAAUUUGCUUUACUGCUUGUGACAUUUUCCAGGCUAUGCCUUGCAUCUCUUUUUAAGGGAAGUUUAGAACAAUUAUUCAUCUAAUAUUGUAAGCUAAGUAUGCUCACCAAAAGCCACAUGCUCUUUCUGUACCACAGGACAGCUACAGCACUGCUGAUGUGAC